GUUUCUAUUACAAUUAGAAAUGGGACCUGGUCAGUGAGUAAUUAAACCCCCGCCUUAGCGUGAGGGUGAUAAUGUAGCAUAGUAAUUUGGCAUUUAAUUGAUGUCUGGAAUGAAAGGUGAAACAAUCUUUACAUUGUCUUUUUUAUAGCUCUAAAGAAAUUAAAUAUUUAGUUAAGAUCCUAAUAAAAAUCUGUAAGACGAAAAGACCCUGUAAUCUUUACUAUAUAUUCUGUGAAAAAUUAGAUAUUUCUAUAAAUACAGAAAGUGAUAGUUUAGCUGGGGCGGCUAAUUACUAAAAAAAAAACGUAAUUAAUUUUUAUUAUAAAGGAUUAAAAUUUACGUUAUAGGUUAAUUUUUAUAAAAUAAAAGAAAAGACCUUUACUCUCUACUAACAGAGUUAAAUCUUAAAUAAAAGAUACUACAGGGAUAACAGUGUAAUUUUAAGAAAGAGAUGAAAUCAAUCUUUUAGUUUGCCACCUCGAUGUUGUAUUAGAUUAUCCACAAGGAGAAAACACUUUGAGGGUUGGAUUGUUCAUCCAUUAAAAA
rnacentral:rRNA from 1 species